rnacentral:rRNA from 1 species
GACGAACGCUGGCGGCGUGCCUAAUACAUGCAAGUUGAGCGAUGACGGUUGUUGAUUGCUCCAAUUUGUAGCGCAGCGCACGGGUGAGUAACGCGUGGGGACUCUGCCUUUGAGCGGGGGACAACAUUUGGAAACGCAUGCUAAUACCGCAUAAUAACUUUAAACAUAAGUUUUCAGUUUGAAUGAUGCUCUUGCAUCUCUCAAUGAUGAUCCCGCGUUGUAUUAGCUUGUUGGUGAGGUAAAGGCACCCCACGGCGAUGAUAAAUAGCCGAACUGAGAGGGUGAGCAGCCACAGUGAGACGGGGACACGGCCCAAACUCCGACGGGAGGCAGCGGUAGGGGUGCGUCGGCAAGGGACGAGAGUCUGACCGUGCAACGCCGAGGGAGUGAAGAGGGUUUUGGGAUCGUAAGACGCUGUUUGUAGAGAAGAACGUUGGUGAGAGUGGAAAGCUCAUCAAUUGACGGUAACUAACCAGAAAGCGACGGCUAACUACGUG